rnacentral:rRNA from 1 species
UACGUAGGGGGCAAGCGUUGUCCGGAUUUAUUGGGCGUAAAGAGCGUGCAGGCGGCCGCACAGGUCCGUUGUGAAAACUGGAGGCUUAACCUUCAGACGUCGAUGGAAACCGUGCGGCUAGAGUCCGGAAGAGGAGAAUGGAAUUCCUGGUGUAGCGGUGAAAUGCGCAGAUAUCCGAAGGAACAUCAGUGGCGAAAGCGGCUUCCUGGACCAGAACUGACGAUCAGGCACGAAAGCGUGGGGAGCAAACAGG